GAUCGGCCACAUUGGAACUGAGACACGGUCCAAACUCCUACGGGAGGCAGCAGUGGGGAAUAUUGCACAAUGGGCGAAAGCCUGAUGCAGCAACGCCGCGUGAGGGAUGAAGGCCUUCGGGUCGUAAAACUCUGUCCUCAAGGAAGAUAAUGACGGGACUUGAGGAGGAAGCCCCGGCUAACUACGUGCCAGCAGCCGCGGUAAUACGUAGG
rnacentral:rRNA from 1 species